UACAUUGUUAGAGCUUAGCAUUGAGGCCCCUGACUAGCUGAUGAACUCAGUAAUAUAGAUAUACAUUACACCAGGGGCAAGGUCUUGGCUAACACUGUAUGUUUCAAUGAAUUGAGUUUGAUAAUACUCCUUGCUACAAUA
rnacentral:snoRNA from 1 species